rnacentral:rRNA from 1 species
AGUGAACGCUGGCGGUAGGCCUAACACAUGCAAGUCGAACGGCAGCACAGUAAGAGCUUGCUCUUACGGGUGGCGAGUGGCGGACGGGUGAGGAAUACAUCGGAAUCUACUUUUUCGCGGGGGAUAACGUAGGGAAACUUACGCUAAUACCGCAUACGACCUACGGGUGAAAGCAGGGGAUCUUCGGACCUUGCGCGAUUGAAUGAGCCGAUGUCGGAUUAGCUAGUUGGCGGGGUAAAGGCCCACCAAGGCGACGAUCCGUAGCUGGUCUGAGAGGAUGAUCACCCACACUGGAACUGAGACACGGUCCAGACUCCUACGGGAGGCAGCGGUGGGGAAUAUUGGACAAUGGGCGCAAGCCUGAUCCAGCCAUACCGCGUGGGUGAAGAAGGCCUUCGGGUUGUAAAGCCCUUUUGUUGGGAAAGAAAAGCAGCAGGUUAAUACCCCGCUGUUCUGACGGUACCCAAAGAAUAAGCACCGGCUAACUUCGUG